rnacentral:rRNA from 1 species
CUGAUGGCGGCCGGCGUACGGGUGAGUAACGCGUAUCCAACCUGCCCUUUACUAUGGGACAGCCCGUCGAAAGGCGGAUUAAUACCGUAUGUUGUCAUGUUGAUGCAUAUUUUCAUGACCAAAGGCUUCGGCCGGUAAAGGAUGGGGAUGCGUCUGAUUAGCUUGCCGGCGGGGUAACGGCCCACCGGGGCGACGAUCAGUAGGGGUUCUGAGAGGAAGGUCCCCCACAUUGGAACUGAGACACGGUCCAAACUCCUACGGGAGGCAGCA